GACGAACGCUGGCGGCGUGCUUAACACAUGCAAGUCGAGCGGUAAGGCCCUUUCGGGGGUACACGAGCGGCGAACGGGUGAGUAACACGUGGGUGACCUGCCCUCAGCUCUGGGAUAAGCCUGGGAAACCGGGUCUAAUACCAGAUAUGACUCCAUGACGCAUGUUGUGGGGUGGAAAGCCUUGUGCGGCUGAGGAUGGGCCCGCGGCCUAUCAGCUUGUUGGUGGGGUGANGGCCUACCAAGGCGACGACGGGUAGCCGGCCUGAGAGGGCGACCGGCCACACUGGGACUGAGACACGGCCCAGACUCCUACGGGAGGCAGCAGGUGGGGAAUCUUGCGCAAUGGGCGAAAGCCUGACGCAGCGACGCCGCGUGAGGGAUGACGGCCUCGG
rnacentral:rRNA from 1 species